CACCGCCCCCAGCCCCCUGCCUGCAGCCCUCCACCUCGACGGUCCGACCACUGCUGCCUUUGCCCCCAACCACCCCACAUCAGCGCUGUCGAGCACGGAGCACCCCCACGGACGACCACUGUCAUCGAGCGACUCCACCGCAGAACUCCUCCCCAAGCAGGCCUCCUCCCUCCACCUGAGCAGGCGAGCACCGAGCGGGAUUGCCUCCUCGACGUCCUCUCCGAUCCCCCAAGCAGCGGAGCAUCCCUCUUCUCCUGUGACCAGCUCACUACCACAUCAACAUCCUCUGUCUGCCUCCUCUGCCCCAUCAAGAGUAUUUGGAAAAAGAAUGGAACAAGAAAGAUACUAAGACAAUGUUGAAGAACGAGAGGAAGAAUGGAACAAGAAAGAGACUAAGACAAUGUUCAAGAACGAGAGGAAGAGAGGCUAGCGAGAAUUAGAACAACAAACGGCGAGGAUUUUGAACGGUUUGGCCGCCUUACAUUUUCAAAUAUAAAUGAAGAAUUUGGAGCCCAGCUAGUCAGUGACAAACUAAAAGGAAGAAGAAGACAAUCAAAUAGUCAUCAAUUCUGUUCGCUUUACUUCGGUACAGGAAUAGCGUCACUUCUGCUGUACAAGAUAGCUGCAGAUUUCCC